rnacentral:rRNA from 1 species
GCUCUCGGGUGACGAGUGGCGGACGGGUGAGUAAUGUCUGGGAAACUGCCUGAUGGAGGGGGAUAACUACUGGAAACGGUAGCUAAUACCGCAUAACGUCGCAAGACCAAAGAGGGGGACCUUCGGGCCUCUUGCCAUCAGAUGUGCCCAGAUGGGAUUAGCUAGUAGGUGGGGUAACGGCUCACCUAGGCGACGAUCCCUAGCUGGUCUGAGAGGAUGACCAGCCACACUGGAACUGAGACACGGUCCAGACUCCUACGGGAGGCAGCAGUGGGGAAUAUUGCACAAUGGGCGCAAGCCUGAUGCAGCCAUGCCGCGUGUAUGAAGAAGGCCUUCGGGUUGUAAAGUACUUUCAGCGGGGAGGAAGGUGUUGUGGUUAAUAACCCCCAGCAAUUGACGUUACCCGCAGAGAAGCACCCGCUAACUCCGUGCCAGCAGCCGCGGUAAUACGGAGGGUGCAAGCUUUAAUCGGAAUUACUGGGCGUAAAGCGCACGCGGGCGGUCUGUCAAGUCUGAUGUGAAAUCCCCGGGCUCAACCUGGCAACUGCAUUCAAACUGGCAAGCUGGAGUCUUGUCUAGGGGGUAGAAGUCCUAGUGUAGCGGU